rnacentral:rRNA from 1 species
UAGCGCCUACGGGGGGCAGCAGUGGGGAAUAUUGCACAAUGGGGGAAACCCUGAUGCAGCAACGCCGCGUGAGUGAAGAAGUAUUUCGGUAUGUAAAGCUCUAUCAGCAGGGAAGAAGAAAGACGGUACCUGACUAAGAAGCCCCGGCUAACUACGUGCCAGCAGCCGCGGUAAUACGUAUGGAGCAAGCGUUAUCCGGAUUUACUGGGUGUAAAGGGAGCGCAGACGGCAGGGCAAGUCUGAUGUGAAAGUCCGGGGCUCAACCCCGGGACUGCAUUGGAAACUGUCCGGCUAGAGUGCAGGAG